AUUAAGCCCACUCAGAUGAACUAUUUCCUAGAGCACAUCGAACAAGAACAACUCUUUCCACUCAUAAAUACUCUCUCAACUAUCAAACUAUCAAAGAAUACUCCCCCAAGCAAAUCUGAAGAUACCCAAAUUGCAAGGACUCGACAAGUAGAUCGACGGUCUCUUAAUUCCAGCAAAUAAAUUGUAAGGACUCAGCAAAUAGAGGACUCAGCAAGUAGUCGCCGCCGAGACUCCCAUCCAGAUAUUCCGGUGCCUUAGCUCCUGGGUACCAUAAUGGUCUGGCCGGGAUUUGCUUUUUCGGAGCCUUUUUAGGUGCGGCUUUUUUGGUACCGAACCGAAUCUGGCUUGGACUCUGCCGGCAGAGACUCUUAAUUUUUCAGUAGCUGCAAAGGUUAUACUCAUGGUGACUCUUAAUUUUUUCUAUAAGUUUAUGGUAAGAUACACUGAUUCCCUUUGUGUUUUGAUAAAAAUUAGUAGGUGAAGCAAUUUUGGUAGUAGUAGGGGUUGGAGAAGCUACAAAUGGUGCGAUAAGGGUAGAGACUUUAGCUCCUCAUCUUAAAGUUAUUAUUAAAAAAGCCAAAUUUUUGUCAAAGGUUAGUAUUGUUGUCUGCUUUUCUAAGUAGAAACACUAGAAACUUUCUUCAUUUUCAUUAGUAAAUGUAUUUAAAUGGUUUGGAUCCGAAUAAAUUUUAAUGAUUUACUGCUGUUUUAUUUUGGUUUUUCUGUGGGUUUCUUCUUGUUUGUUUAAUUUUAUGUCUCUAAAUAGUAAUACAAUUGCUGGGUUAAUACCUAAUUUAUGGAUAUUCCUAUGUGGUAAAAGUAUUUUGGAUGCCUAAUUACUCUCCAUAUUUUUUAAUGGCUGAGAUAUAUUGUUAACAAGGACCAAAUCUAAGAUCAUGUUAUAGCAAAUUACAAAAUGUAAAGAAGCGCAUGAGUGUUUGUGACUGAAAGCAAGUAUAUUCUAGCACCAUUAAGUCUAUCACAGGAGCCACUUAUUGUGCGGCAGAUUUUUUUUUUCAAUCUUGCCUCUCUGUUAAAAGUUUUGGUUUAUCCUAAUGAAUAACCAGUUGGUUAGAAUACUCCUCUUGCAAUCAUGUUAAUUAUAAAACUUCAACUUCCUUUACUAAACAGAUUAUAGAUUAAAUAAGUAAAAAAAGAAAAGAAAAAUAGAUUAUAGUACUGCUUUGACUAUUUAUUCUUUAUGUUUUUCUCUAACUUCAGUGUUUGUAUUGUGGACCAUCUCUUCAUAAGUGAUUUGUGGACCUGAUUAUGUUAAAGAUAUGUAAUAUGUGUAGUCAAAUUUCCUGUGUUACUGGACUUCAUCUCUUAGUUAAAUCCUUGGACUUCAUCUCUUAGUUCCAGAUAUUCCAUCUCAUGCACAAAAUUCACAUGAUACAAUUGUAGAAACAUCGGAAGAGGAGGAAGGGUUUGAUGAUACGGAUUGGGACUGGAUGGAAGCAGAUGAUUAAAUAACAAAAUUAUGAAAUUCUUUUAAGUAUAUUCUUUUUUGGGAUCUCCAACGUCCUCUUCUGGUUUAGCCGUUCUACAUUUUGAGGUAGAAUAUCAAAUUUGUGAUUCAACCAUACUACAUUAUUGAUUUUGUAAUUUAUUUAUCCUGAUAGGUUUUGAUGAUUUUUUCUCCACGUAGAUGCACAUAAAUCUCUUUUUGUUGAUGUGUAGUGUAACUCUUCUUCUGUUUUCUUUCUGUGCAAAUCUCAAGGUAAGCUGUUAAAAAUACUUGAAGUGGUGUCAAGUUUGUAUGAAGAGGAGGGAGUUGUUCUUGACAUUCAUAUUUGCAGACUUAUUUGACUCUGAAAGUUGCUAAGUUAACAAAUAAAACAACCUUGAUCCCAUCUUUUAUUGGUUGUGAUAGUUUCCAUGUUAGGAGUUGAUGCUCUUUUGACCGUCAUUCUUCCAGAUUUUCCCACUGUUUCUGCCUUAGAUUGCUAGAUAUGCCUAUAUUCAAAAUCAUGUGCUCAUAUUUUCCUGCUUCUUCAUCCUCUAUUAUCUUAACUGCUUUUAGCAUCUGUCGGAAGAGAGGAUGCAACAAAGAAUACAUGAAAAGUUGAACGAACAAAAGGAUGCUAUGGAACAAAAUAUUACAAUGAACGUCAUCGCACGACUUCAGCGUCAGAACCCAGAUUUGCGACUUGAUCUUGACAUGUUAAGGUUCAGUGCACGUUCAUCUGUAGAAGCUUCCUCUGCACAACAAGUUGUUGUUCAAGUAAACAGUCAACUACCAAAUGUUAUACAUCUUCUUCUAUUUCUUCUUCUUCUCCUCUUUCCUUGGUUGGGAUUUUGCUUUUGUUCAAGGCAGAGUGGAUAUGGUAAUAUCCUUUUUUCUUCCUAUAAAUGUGCUUAUUUCGGUAUUAUUGGUAUCCAACUUCUUUUAUAACAGCUUCCGUUUCAGUGUUGGUUAAUUUUAUGCUAUAUAAUGCCUUCUUUAGAUUCUUGGUCAUUUUUAUGCUAUAUACACUCCAAAUAUCAUAAUGCAUGAACGUGGUGGCUGCCACAAAUAUAUGUGAGCCAAAUCCGAUGGUUAAAUAUCAAAAGUUGUUCUAGAUCUUUUCCUUCUUCAUGAAAAUGGAAGGUUAUGUGGCUGUCACUGUCAGUCAUUUUUUCCUGCUAAUGUGCAGCAGUGAACAACAACUGACUGAUUUUGUGCAUAUCAAGAGCCUUAUUUUAAAUAAAAAUGUUCAUUCUUUAUGAGUAGCAUAUGAUAUGUCUUUAUGUUCGAGUGCUCCUGGUUCCCCCCCCCUUCUCCCUUUGGUACGAUUUUGUGCAUUUCCAUAUGGGACCAAGUGAAUACUAAAUGCAUGAGUAGUUAAUUGACUCUCUUCUGGAGAGCUCAUAUAAGUUGGGUAACUAUCUGAGGUGUUAUCAAGUUCUAGGUGAUAAAUAAUUUUGAAAUUUGACUAACUAACCAGAUACACAAAUAGUUGUGCUCUGUUUUCCAGUGCUACAAAUUCUAGGAUAUGGUACCAAGGUUAUGGAUACCCUAUUUCUUUGAUUGCAAGGGAGAGUAGAAGCCCACUCAUGCCAUGCUAUAUUUUGAAAUGAUUAUGCCAGUUUAUCUGUAGCGUAAAAGAGAGAAAAAAAGUUGUAGUGUCAAAUGUUCCAACCUAUUUUCCUUGACCAAUAAAAGGAACUUAACUAAUUAUAGACCAAAUGAAUAAAAGUUUGUACUCUAAAAUUAAUUUAUAAAUGGCUUUUGAAAAUGAUAAAGAUGGUGAGAUAUAAUAUUGUUGAGUAGGUGAAGAACAUAUGAUAUACAUAUCUGCACUAACAUGGACAAGCCAGAUCUAACUAAUUUUAGCACAGAGAUGGUUGUUCAGUUGUUCUCCUGAUUAUAUUGAUAUAAUAUAAAUGUAGCAUAUACUUUAAAGCAUAUAUUAGCAUCAUUCUUUAUAGGCUAUAAGGAAAACAAAAUAAAAUAUACUAGUUCAAAAGGUACUACUGUCAUGGCUUGGCAUCUUAUGGCCAACUUGGAAGACUUGAACUUCUUUUGUAGUUUCUUUUUGUUUUGCAACUACUAUUGUUAGUUCUGGAGUUUUCAUGUUCUUUUCUUUUUUUAUGGCAAUUUGUGCUAUGAGUAUUCUUAGAUCGGAUUCUUUUGAAGGGUAAUAACUUUAUUUACUCUCUUUUGUAGGUGGAGUAGAUCAAGAAAUAGAUGAUGAAGACAACGAAGAACUAGACCUUACUUGAGAUGAAUCUUGAAUUGUUACAGAAGAAUAUUCUAGGAAUUUUUUGUUACCAACAUUUUUGAAACUUAUUUACUCUCUUGAAAUAUACUAAACUUAUGUACUAAGGAGUAGAACAUUUGCUUUUUGGAUAUUAUUUGCUUGAUGGAUAAUUUUAUAUUAUUA
rnacentral:lncRNA from 1 species